GGGGGCUGCGUGUGAGCACACUCUGCUCCCAGCUGGAUCACAGAUAUUUGGCAAGCUGGCUUCCUUGCAAUGAGUGGGAAUACUGUGCAAGAUCAAACCAGGCUGAGCAAGACUGCAGCUUGCACACGCUGCCUGUGGCACCGAGGCACACAGAUCCUGUGGUUUGGCAAGGAGAGUCACAGCUCCGAACAAGCUCAGGACACUCCUGAAUUCUGCUGCUCUCAUGAUCCAGGCAGCACAUGCAGCAAUGUGGGCAUCAGGGUGCUGUUCCCAAGCUGCUGGAGCCUGGGCAGUGGGCUCACACUUCUCCUCGUGCUGUGGCUCAGGAGCAGUUCCACUCCAUACUGCAGCAUUCCCCUGCAGCCUCCUGCCUGCACCAGCCUGUCCUCUUGCUCCAAGCUAGGUUGGCAUCUGUACCAGGGGAGAAUUGGCAACUGAGCGCUGUUCUGAGGCAGCUGAUGGCAUUUUCUAGAAGCCAAGGGGUUUACCAAUUGCUUUAGUUACUGAGUAAGACACACCCAGUCCAGUUAGAAUCCAAGUUCCACAUCCUCUCUUAAUGGCUGUCCAACAAAGGGCCAGCAGCAUGCCUCAGUGCCCUGGCCCACGGGAAUUAACCUUUGCUUUACCCAGACAAUGAGGGCCUUUGUUCCAUGGGAAGAAGGCACCUGACUGGAGCAGGUGACACUCAUUUGAUUCUGAGACUUGGGGAGGUUAAAACUCCCUCACACUUUGUGAUCCAGUGCCUGUAGAGGAAUGGUCCCCUCCAAGAUACCCUGCUCCGGUUGAUUGGGCUGUUUGCUGAUGUUGUUAUCAUCCUGCUAUCAGCGGUGUUAUCAAGCCCUCUCCAUGCUUGGAGAAUCUUAUGUUUGAAUCCAACCCUUCCUGCUCUCAGCAGAAGGCAGCUGGAACUGAACCUUCACACAACCUAAGACAGGAGCCUGAUCAGGGCUGGAUCUUCUUGCCCUGGGGUUUUACAGGGAGGGCUGAGGAGCAUCCAUUGCCAGAGCAGGCAUCGCAUAGCGAUCCCCUGCUAUGACUCACUCGCUGCCCAGGCUCGAACCACGCUGGAAAAUCUUGAGUUGAAGCUGAGCCAGACUCAGGGGACAUUCAUCAGCUGCCUAAAGGACCCUGCUGGCUCCUGGCUGGGUCUUGGCAGCCCAGCCCACCUCACCCCUCAGCUUCCAGCAGUGACUGGAUGAGGGAUUCCUCCCCAAACCAAGGCGGGGUCACCCAUCAGGAGAGCACUUCUCUGUGUAUUAUCUGCUUCUACCUUCUCCCUGGAGCCAGGAAUGUUGCAAGUGAGCGAGCAGCUACAAAAGAACCAUCUAAUUAAGACCUGAAGCCAUAAAUCUGUGGUAGUUUGUUUCCACUGUGGCUUUAUUUGAUACUUGCCUCAAAAAGUUCACGAGAGUCAAGGGCAAAGCAGGCUGUAAGGAAUGAAGUGAUGGCUUUGUCCACUGCUUCCUCCUACACCAGCAGGGCCCAGAGUGGUACAGGCAGCUGUGGACAACCCUCCUCUCCUCCUUGAGGAAGCAUGCCAGGCAGGAGGGGCUCUGUGGGCUCAUCAGAUCUUCCUCAUACUGCCCACAGGGCUCCACUGAGCUGGGCCUCACAAAUCUUCCUGUUCUGGGAAGUCUUUGGGCUUGUGCUUGUCCGUGGAUAUAUCUCACCCUCUGGAGAAAAUAAGGGAUUUGGAAAAGCUGAGGUCUGCAGCUGGGUGAGUGAAGCAGGAAGGACAUUUCUGUCCAAAGUGUUCAGAUUUAAGUCAGACUGGGAAGAUGCUGGAGGCAGGAAGAAAAAAUGUCAUCUGGUUUGCUUUUGUCUUCCAAAAGAAAAUGAGCCUAGAAAGAUGCACAUCAAAGAGUGACAUUGCCUGGAUUUCUGAGCAACUUUCCUGGGCACUCCAAGAGCCUGGGCCCAAGAAAUAUUUGAAGCUGUGAGUGCACUGGGUCCUUCAGAGCAGACUGACACAAUGAUGGCUUCCUCCUUGAUGUUCACCAAGAGAAAUUAUGUCCUGGGCCCCUCUUUAAGCCGUUUCUAUCUUUGUAGCCUCACAUCCCAACUUGGCAAUGCUGGAGCUGCCUGCCCCACAGCAGAGCAGCCCUGGCAGCAGCCUGCCCUGUGCCCGCGGUCACUGUGCUGUGAAAAUUACCUGGAACAGAGUCACGGGCAUGGCUGCUCACUUAUAAUACAGCAGAAAAAGUCAUUGUCACUGCCAAGAAAAGACAAAAGGCCACCAAACAAUAACCCAGCCGUAAAUGAAGGUGAUAAAUAUGGAGACAGGUGAAAGGUAACUACAGGCUGCCUCUCACACACACGGCACCCAGCUUGGGAAGUGCUCUUCAUGUCAAGGUGUGUGCGUGCCAUGGGCAGCUUUUUCUGAUCAGAGAUUUUUGGUUAAAAAAAAAAAAAAGAAUCUGCUUUUCUUUCUUUCCGUAAGUCAACAUUAGGAUGCAAGGUCAGAGCUCAACUUCCAGUGGAAAAACAGGGAUAAGUGAUGCCUGUGGCCCCGUGUCUCACACAGAGGGAGCCUUCUGCAAGGGUUUGAAAGCAAGUUUGAAAAAUCAAUCCGAAAAAUGUGAUCAGUUGCACAGAAUGAAGCUGUGGGGACAAGUGAGAGCAAAAGGUUGUGCAAAGAUCCUGGUACGUUGAAAAAUCACAGUGAUUGCAGCUGCCUUCAUGCUGUGACAUGCCCCCCCCAAAAACAAAACAACUCUGCAAGAUUCAUUGGGCAAAGGCUGAAGUGUUAUUUAGUUGUAAAAUAAUGCCAUAACUGCCACAGCCAUCAUUGUUGCCAAGUGGGUAAGAACAGCUGAGUCCUGAGGACGUACUUUAGGCAGCAGUUUGCUCCUGCCACUGCUGGGUUUCAGCCCAAAUCCUGACCCCAGAUGCAGCUCUGGCAGAGGA